rnacentral:rRNA from 1 species
GACGAACGCUGGCGGCGUGCCUAAUACAUGCAAGUCGAGCGAACAGACGAGGAGCUUGCUCCUCUGACGUUAGCGGCGGACGGGUGAGUAACACGUGGAUAACCUACCUAUAAGACUGGGAUAACUUCGGGAAACCGGAGCUAAUACCGGAUAAUAUAUUGAACCGCAUGGUUCAAUAGUGAAAGACGGUUUUGCUGUCACUUAUAGAUGGAUCCGCGCCGCAUUAGCUAGUUGGUAAGGUAACGGCUUACCAAGGCAACGAUGCGUAGCCGACCUGAGAGGGGGUAGGGCCCCCCAGAAGCUGACCGCCGGCCCGGCCACUAAGGGAAGGCACAGGUAGGGAACUUACGCAAAGGGGGGAAAGCUUGCCGAAGCACCGCGGGGGGGGUGAUGAAGUCCUGCGGUUGGUAAACCGGUUUUAUAGGGAAGAACAAAUGUGUAAGUAACUAUGCACGUCUUGACGGUACCUAAUCAGAAAGCCACGGCUAACUACGUG